AUGGCUGUCGUCAGCUCGUGUCGUGAGAUGUUGGGUUAAGUCCCGCAACGAGCGCAACCCUUGUCCUGUGUUGCUACCGGGUAAUGCCGGGCACUCUCAGGAGACUGCCGGGGUCAACUCGGAGGAAGGUGGGGAUGACGUCAAGUCAUCAUGCCCCUUAUGUCCAGGGCUGCAAACAUGCUACAAUGGCCAGUACAACGGGCUGCUACCUCGCGAGAGGACGCGAAUCCCUUAAAGCUGGUCUCAGUUCGGAUUGGAGUCUGCAACCCGACUCCAUGAAGUCGGAGUCGCUAGUAAUCCCGGAUCAGCCACGCCGGGGUGAAUACGUUCCCGGGCCUUGUACACACCGCCCGUCACACCACGAAAGUCGGCAAUACCCGAAGCCGGUGGCCUAACCCGCAAGGGAGGGAGCCGUCGAAGGUAGGGUCGAUGAUUGGGGUGAAGUCGUAACAAGGUAGCCGUAGCGGAAGCUGCGGCUGGAUCACCUCCUUUCUAGGGAUACCGGAGCACUUACUUCCGGUAGGCGCUCGGCCAGUCUUGAUGGCCCCGUGGUUGAAAGAUCACCCGGCCGUCCUGUACCCGAGUUCGCCUAGAAGAACGUCGACCUCGACGAACGCUGUUGAGUUUUGAGAGACCGGAGUCUUGUAUUUAAAAGAUCGCUAUCCGGUUCUCGUUGGGCGGCUCGGUCCGCGCGCACCUUGAAAACUCCAUAGCAGUAACUAGCGAGUUCUUCACGAUCAAGAGACUAAGAGCACACGGUGGAUGCCUUGGCGCCAAGAGCCGAAGAAGGACGUGGGCGGCUGCGAUAAGCUCGGGUGAGGUGCUGACCAACCUUUGACCCCGAGAUCUCCGAAUGGGGAAACCCGG
rnacentral:sRNA from 1 species